rnacentral:rRNA from 1 species
GACGAACCGUGCGAACGUUGUUCGGAAUCACUGGGCUUAAAGGGCGCGUAGGCGGUUGAUCAAGUCUGGGGUGAAAUCUUUCGGCUUAACCGGAAAAGUGCCUUGGAUACUGGUCAGCUGGAGGGAGGUAGGGGCAGUUGGAACUUCCAGUGGAGCGGUGAAAUGCGUUGAUAUUGGAAGGAACGCCGGUGGCGAAGCGAGCUGCUGGACCUCUUCUGACGCUGAUGCGCGAAAGCUAGGGGAGCAAACGGG